rnacentral:lncRNA from 1 species
AAAAUAACAUAAGUUUAGAUGCAAUAAAGUUCGACUUGCCCAAUUUAAAUUGAGAAGUGUCACCAAAUAUAAUUCAUUUGAUUAAAUUAGCAACUUUAUAUCAACAUUAUUACCUUCUCAUUCUAUAUAGCCAAUUAAAAGGUUUUUAUAGUCGCUUUUGGACGAAAUUCAUUAUAAAUUUCGAUAACGCUUUUCGAUCAAAUAUUAUUUGAAUUCAAAAGUGGCACCAAAUUCAUUCUAUAUUUCUCUUUAAAAGUAACAUAAGUUUAGAUGCAAUAAAGUUCGACUUGCGCAAUUUGAAUUGAGAAGUGUCACCAAAUAUAAUUCAUUUGAUUAAAUUAGCAACUUUAUAUCAACAUUAUUAUGUUCUCAUUCUAUAUAGCAAAUUAAAAGGUUUUUAUAGACGCUUUUGGACAAAAAUCAUUAUAAAUUUCGAUAACGUACCUUUUGAGGGUAUAAAUUCAAAUUGCCCAAUUUGAAUUGAGAAGUGGCACCAAAUAUAAUUUAUUUGAUUUAAAUUAGAAUCUUUUUAUGAAAAUUAUUAUGUUUUCAUUCUUCAUAGUUAACUAAAAGCUUUUUCCAGACGCUUUUGCAUGAUAUUCAUUCUACAUUUCUCUUUAAAACUAAAAUAAGUUUAGAUGCGAUAAAGUUCGACUUGCCCAAUUUGAAUUGAGAAAUGUCACCAAAUAUAACUCAUUUGAUUAAAUUAGCAAUGUUAUAUCAACAUUAUUACGUUUUCAUUCUAUAUAGCCAAUUAAAAUGUUUUUAUAGACGCUUCUGGACGAAAUUCAUUAUACAUUUCGAUAACGUAACUUUGGAGGCUAUAAAUUCGACUUGCCCAAUUUGAAUUGAGAAGUGGCGCCAAAUAUAACUUAUUUGAUCAUAUUAGUAACUUUUUAUCAAAAUUAUUACGUUUUCAUUCAUCAUAGCUAACUAAAAGCUUUUUCCAAACGCUUUUGCAUGAAAUUCAUUCUACAUUUCUCUUUAAUACUAACAUACAUUUAGAUGCAAUAAAGUUCGAAUUGUCCAAUUUGAAUUAAGAAGUGUCACUAAAUACAAUUCAUUUGAUUAAAUUAGCAACUUUAUAACAACAUUAUUGCGUUCUCAUUCUAUAUAGGUAAUUAAAAGGUUUUUAUAGAUGCUUUCGGAUGAAAUUCAUUAUACGUUUCGAUAAAGUAAGUGUAGAGGCUAUAAAUUUGAUUUGCCCAAUUUGAAUUCAAAAGUGGCACCAUAUAUAAUUUACUAGGUUUAAUCCCGUGGUUGAAACCACGGUUGAAAAAAAACUAUUCAGAAUUCUAAAUUGUAAUGAUUAAGCGUUAGGUUACAUUGUUGAUCAAAAUUAAUUGGUUACCAAUAAAACAUAAUAAAUAGAAAAGAAAAUAAUGGGUACUUCCGACUAUGAAUGUUUUUCUUGAUCUUUGUUUUGUAUUUUAACUUUCUUUUAGAAUACACUAAUUUUGGAACUGAAUUUGGUUUAAUCGGUUCUUAAGAUUUUGAAACCGAUUUCUAGAUAGUUAAAAAUAUUUUAUUCUCAAAAGUUUAAAUAAAUUAACCUUGCUAAUUUAAUGUAAGAAUAAGAAGAAUAAGUUGGUUUUACAAAAAAAAAAUGUUUACAUGUUUGGUAAUCGGUGAUAUCAUCAACCAUAACAAUUUAACAUUUCCUUCUUUUAUAAUAUCGUACUUUAAUUUCGAUAUAUAAUACCCAUUGCUAAUAUCAAAUUUAUGAACAUUAAGUAGAAGAAGAUGAGAUCGUACUUCACAACACACCAAGAAAUUGCAGAUGAAUUGGGAUAUUAUAACAAACAGAAAAGUGAAAGUGUCUAUUUUCUUGUAUUUAGCCAAAACUUAUAAGGAUAAAUGCAAAAAAUAGAAACAUACUUUGACUUAUUUGUUUAUUAUAGCAUUCUACUUUCUUAUCACGACAUUUUACCAUUCUAAUUACAAAAUCAACACCUUUAUAUUUGGAAGAUAUUUUACAAAGUACAAUGUUGUAAUAGGAAAAGUUAAAGUAGAAUGUUAUAAUAAACAAAUGAGUUAAAAGUAUAUUAUUAUUUUAAUCUAACCAAAUAUGUCUUGAUAAAUGAUGUUGAUUGAUUAAAGAAAAUUUCGCUCACACUUUGAUAUAUGAAAGAAAAAAAAUAAAGGGCUAAACGCAAGAUAAUAAAUCAAAAUUGGUUACAUUGUUACAUAAUAUGUUUAUAACUCACGAUGUUUUUUUUUUCUGGUUCAGGAUUAGAUAAAUUAUGUUUAAAAUAGAUUAAACAAAAAUCCCCUCACGCUUUACUAUCUUCCUUCCAAGUAGUUCAAAUUCAUCAUACAUUUACACUGUAAUAAUUAAAGUUAAUUCAUGUCGUCAUAAAAUGAUAGAUAUAAUUUUAAAAUUUAAAGCAAGUGUAAAAGCAUUGACACUAAAAUUAAUUAUGAACUAAAAAUUUACUCUUUAGCUUCUCUUAUCUUUGUUUAAGACAUACAACCAAAAUCAGAGUAGACACAUAAUCCAUACCAAAUAUUCUUUUUGAGUUUUUGUAGUCUUUGACAUAUAGGUUAACCCGCGUCUUACACACCUAAAAACCAACAAACAAAUUUCAAUCAACAAUAAAACAAAUUAAGCAUAUAUUUGGAUUAACAUGCUAUAAUUGAGUUAAAUUUUAAAGUAGAAUUUUAUAAUAAGGAGAAAUAAAAAUAAGAUGCUAUAAUAAACAAAGCAACAUAAGUACGUUGCUAUUUCUUGCAUUUAACUCUAAAAACAAAUUAGUAAACAAAGAUAAUUUAGAGAAGUACUUAAAAGUGCCUUCUGGAGCUUGUUAUAGAAAUACGUAUUGAAAAACUGCAAAUUUCCUUGUGGUUUUUUUUGAUGAUGUCUUUUGUUGAAGAUAUCUUGCCAAAAAAAUAAGUAAGUCAUGUAGGCUACUUGGAUAUAUUUUUAAAGUGUAUAUAUGUAAAAUACUUUUUUUUAAUUGUUAAAAGAUGAAAUGAUAAAUUUACCGUAUAUAAAAGUUCACGAUAGUUGAUGAAAGGUAUGCUUGAGGAGUAAGACAAGUCAUAUCUCUACAAAUUACUUCAACCGAAUCUUGGACAUCCCUGUCAGCUCACAAGCCAAGUGUAAAAUGGUAAAUAAAUGGAAAUAUGCAUAGAAUUGUAACAAAUAAUAUGUUAAGUGAUAAAUAUCCGAUUUGUAAAUUGUAAUGACUAAUCAAAGAUUUGUAAAAAUGGUGAAACAAAAUAGACUUAUGUUGUACAAAGUAUCAAAUUGCAAAUUGCUUUAAGGGCUUCAAUAGAUGCACCCAAGAACACCCUUAAAUAUUGCCUUUUUUUGCUCUUGAAGAGCAUUCAUCACUGGAUACUUGAUCAUAGGUGAUUAAGGAUGCAUAGUCUUAAUACCAAGGAUGUAGAUCCUUAAUACCAACUUAUCAUCCUUUCAAUCAUUAUGUCCCUUCAUCUUAUGUGCCUUGUUUGAAGGGUAUACACAGAGAGUUUUGAUCGACUUUUCUUCUUCUUCUAUGUCAUCAUCUAAAUCUAAUUGGACCUUUGAAAAAUCAUCUGAAAAAUAUUCCGUUAAUAUGGACAACUGCACACGCUGGAUACUAUCAUUAAACAAAUAAAUGAAUCACAUCAUAUGUCAUGGUUCUACUAAAAAGUUUGUUGAUUGAUUGAUAUAAGUCAUUUUAUUUGAACAUGAAAGAAAUCAAUAGAUGUAGUAUACUUUAUCAAGGUCUAUUCAACCCCUCCUAAAUAGCUUUUAUUGGUAAUAAUAAUUGGAUCUAUGAUUAGCAUUUUUCGUCCUUGCGCUUUGUUGAUUUUUACAGAUACGGUCCCUAAAAAGUAAUUUUUUAACAUUUUCAGUCCAUAAAAAGUAUUUUUGUUGUGCUCUUAGUCCCAUUUUAUUUUUAUCAUCAACAACCCCCUGCAGAGACAUCUUGAUCUAUUAAGUCCAGUUUUUCAACCAUGGAAAGGAACCCUCGAAGCCAAUAAAAAAGAAGAAGACAUGAACUUUUUUUUUUUCAUUUUUUUGUUUUACUUUUUUCUUACAAUUAGUUUUUUAAUAUUAUAAUGUUUUGGCUGAAUACGCUUUUAAACUCGGGUUCAAGUCCUUCGACAUGGUGAUGAGUUGAUGAAGAAGAUAGGGGCAAAAUGGUCGUUUAUAUGAUUUAUCAUGUCUAACAUAUUAGUUAUAAUGACAGAAAAUAUGAUGAAACGUUGUAUAUUUGUAACAACCCGAAGUUGUCCAUCGCCGAAAUCCGUUCCGCGCGUAAAAAUCCGCCUUUAUCGAUUCGCCCCGUUUUCGUUUUUGGGCUAAGAUAUAUAAACUAUAAGUUUAUUUUAAUCUCAUAAGUGUUCAAAUCCAUUUAAAACUCAUUAAAAUGACCCAAAAUCAUUAACUUGAAAUUUCUAAAUUCUAUCCCGUCGAAUUACGGAAACUUAAUCGGGUGCGACCAAAAGCCCCGUUUAAUGCCGGUAUCGGGUAGAACUCCACCGUGUCCAAGUUUUGGGACCUAUUUAAACGUGUUUAAACAUUCAUUUGAAGCUUUUUCUUCCUCUCUCUACUCUCUCUCUAACCUCUUUCCUAAAUCCAAGUUUAAGGCUUCUAAUCACCAAGGUACCUUCCUUAACUCAUUGUGUAUCAUAUUUGACCCUCAAAUUCGAGAUUAAAGCAAGAAUUAGGACCUUGUAUAUGAGUUUACGACCUUGGAAGGUGCCUAGGCCGUAAACACUAAUUUAGAGGGUUUUUAAGCCCUUAAACCCUUCCAAGACACAAACAAGACUUAGAUAUGACUUCUAGAAUAUUGGUAGUGGCCUUAGAACAUCAUGAACAUAAAUUUUGAGGAGCAAAUGGGAGUUUACGGCCAAGAGAUAUGCUUGGGUCGUAAACCCUUCAAACAUGAGGAGUAAACUCCUCUAAAGGUGUUAAAAUGCCACUUUAACACACCUAAAGCCUUGGGAUAAAUUCUAGAAUUGUUUACAAACAAGUUUUGGACAUUAAAACAUAUAAAAUCACCCAUUCAUAAGAGUUCACGACCAUGAGGGUGUUCAUGGGCCGUAAACUCCUAAAAGUAUGCCUAAAGUCCCUCAAAAAUCCAUAUAAGGCUUGGAAAAAUCAUUAGAAUCACAUGUGAUUAAUGUAAGACCAUCAAGAAACAUUUUGAGUGUGUAUAUAAGAGUUUACGGCCGUAAACAUAGAGUUUACAGCCGUGAACUCCUCAAAUGGUCCUUAUAUUGUUCAAAAUACAUUACCAAGCCUUGAAUCAAACCCUAGAAAUUCCCUCUUAAUUGUUUCAAGCCAUUUUGCACCAUAAACCACCCCACCAUGAGUUUACGGCUGUAAACUCAUGGGGAAUGGGUCUUUAGGGCCGAAAACAACCCUAUGAGUUUACUCUUGAAGAGUAAACUCCAACCCCUAGUCAUUCAAGUCCUUAAACGCUACCCGGGUCCUUCCAAACACUCAAAAUGGGGUGUUUCCGCAACUAGGAGUGUAUGUCCCUAACAAAUAAAUUAAUCAAAUUCUAAUUAGAUACAAAUGUAUAUCAUUUGUUAAUCCAUAGGAAUCUUGUGCAUUCGCGAACCCAGAACUGACGUUUAGGAUCCAAACCGACGCGUUUCUCAACCGGUGAGUUCAUACCCCUACCCUUUUUCCGUGUUUUUCAAUGGUUUUUCAAUGUUUUCAGGGGGGAAUACAAGCAAAAAGCACAAGUGUAUCUUGUACUUAAACUGAUUUUCAACUUAAUGGUCUUAUUUUCUGAAUGUCUUAACUGAUGUUUUCGAAUUGCAGGUUAAAUACAGAUUUCUUUUAAAGUGUUAUAAACUAUAUUACUUUUGUAAAAGAAAUCACACUAAACAUAAACUAAAGAUAGUACGAAUAUGAAUACGAAUACGAAUGUAACCAAUAGUAUAGUACGAAUAAGAAUGCGAAUACGAAUAUAACUAAUAGGAUAGAACGAAUACGAAUACGAAUAGAAAUUGGACUACGAAUGCGAAAUAACGCCUUUGGAUGACACCAAGACUUCGAAUAUAUAGUUAGUGUACGCCUUGAAUGUCACCAGAGUUCCGAAUACGAAAGUACGCCUCUGGACCUCUACUGAGUUUCGAAUACAUCCGCCUCAGAAUGUCGACAGAGAUACAAAAAUACAACUAAUGUACUCUUUUGGAAACCACCAGAAUAAUCGAAAAUACUGUAAUGUACGAUUCUGGUGAAUCCAAAUAUACGAAAAUACAACUAAGUUAGUAGAUAAUAGACAUUCGAAUGUAGAAUAACUAAGAGUUUAGAAUGCUUAACUUAUACUCCAAAUAUGGUAAUUAUUAAUAUUUCGAAAUCAAACCUAAGAACCAAAUCAACACAUAGGAAAAUAUGGGAUUUUCCUGAGAUAACAUAACAACUAGUAAUGAACUUAGAAACGAAUAGACAACUCAACACAUAGGAAAAUAUGGGAUUUUCCUGAGAUAACAUAACAACUAGUAACGAACUUAGAAACAAAUAGACAACUCAACACAUAGGAAAAUAUGGGAUUUUCCUGGAUAGCAUAACAAUACAUAAACGAAUAAAGUAACAAACGAAUAACUAAAACUAUUAGGAAAAUAUGGGAUUUUCCUGGAUUGACAUAACAAACUAUUUUUGAAUCGGUAACGAAAGAUAACUAAACUAUUUUUCAUAAGAAAAUACGGGAUUUUCUUGAACAACAACUUUUUCAGAAAGCAAAGGAAACUCGUUCUUUUCAAAACUAAACCGCUUAUGAACUCACCAGUUUUAUGCUGAUUUUCAAACUGCUUGUAUUCUCAGGUCAGCGUUAGAUAGGUACACCGCCAUCUUUUGGAGAUGACGGAGCAUUCUGAAGACUCGUCUUUACUUUUAUUCAUACGAUAUAUGUAUAUAACACUUGUAUAACUUUCUUUCAAACAGAUGUAAACAAUAUUAUGUAAUGUAAUGUUUUGUGUUUACUGUUUUACUAUGUGCAUUGGAUUUGAUACUCAACGUGGAGUCAACCCCGGAAAUGUUUCCGCCUUUGGUUUUCGGGGUGUGACAAUAUUACCAUGGAUUCUUCAAGUUUAUGAAAAAAAUGCUUCUAAAGAGUUCAUGUAAAAGCUUUAAAAGAAAUAUGACAAGUAUCACCAUUGCAUUUUUUCAAAGUAUUUGCAAAAAAGAAUUGAUAAUGGAAGCUUACAUCAGCAAGACCAUCUGGCAAAGGUGGAAUGAAUUUAUAUGCAGUUAGACGAUUGUCCAACUUAAAUCGUUAUUUGGUCACAACAACAGCUGAUUGUGAUUUUCAUUGUGAUAAUGGAGGUUUUAUUUGUAAUUUUGUGGCUGAUCUCCAUAGUUUUUUGAUUUUUGAACUUUUGGAUUCCAUAUGAACUAAUUCCUGAUGAACCCUAACAAACUGCAAAAAAGAAAAAAAGAAUCAUGAUGCAAAUAAAGAAGUCUGUGAGCAAUCCCAUUGAUAAUAUGAAAAGCAAAGAAGCCAAUCAAGCGCAAUACUUAUAAACGUAUCGCAUGACUAAGCCAUAUAUAUUUUGGGCAGUAAGGCCAUAAUUCAAUCCAAAAGAAUGACAACUGAUUGUCAGAAUGUUAUUUUGUAGAUAUACAGAUGAAUCAUAUACAACUACAAUUAAGACUUUAAUAACAGAUAUUGAGACGGAACAGAGAAGACUUACUUGGUAAUUCAGAAACAUGCAUUCUUAUGUGAAGUUCUUGUGUUUCAUCAUACACUUGAAUAUCCAUUAGAUCAUCAAAUCAUAGAAAGCAUCCGCUUCCACCUCUUCCGAUAUCUAAACUUGCAUAAUCUAUACAAAAACAAUUUCUUUUACAAGUCGCUUCUCAUCCAGUAAUUGUCAUGCGCAAAUNNNNNNNNNNNNNNNNNNNNNNNNNNNNNNNNNNNNNNNNNNNNNNNNNNNNNNNNNNNNAUCCAUUCCCAUUCCAAUAGGCUAAUGGUGUAUCUAUUUGAAACCCGCUUCCAGGAAACUACAAGCAGGGGAACCGUUAAUGUUGUAGUUUCCAUAUGCAGCACAAAUAGCAUAACCUGCACAAGCAUUGAUAUUACUUGUAAUAGAACAAACAAUCCAAUUUUGUGUUCGAUUGACCCAAAUAAGGUCUUCAAUUUUUCCAUCCGUAUUCAAAUGCAUCCUAAAAAUAAGCUAGUAGUGGGGGAUAAUAGAAGGAGAAUUUAGAUAUGGUGGUGGAUUGGGAGAAUGCAUAUGAUUGAGUCGUGGUGGCUCAUUAGAGUAUGAGACAAAGCAAAUGAUGUUUUCCCCUUGUUUCCGAGGAAUCAAGGCCAGGAUUCAGAUGUGUAGAUGUUUUGCAAUCAAAACUAAAAAGAAAAAAACAAUUGAAAUAAUUUAGAUGUAACCUUCAUGGAUUUCUAAACCAUAUUAAACAACCUAAUAUCAAAAACAACUACGAUAAACAAAGGGUGGAUGGGAAACCAUAAGAAUCGAUCCUGCCAGUUUGAACUUCCUUUCUGCACAUAGGCGGUGGAGUUACGCAAUAAAGAUGGUUGAGACUUGGUAGCUAAAGAAAUCAUCAAAUGAGCGAGAGAGGGAGAGGGAGAGAGAGAGAGAGAGAGAAACAUUGAAGAAGAAGAAGAAGCGAUCCUUUAGAGUUGAAUUUUGAAAACAAAAUCAAUUUUAUGGGAUUACAUCCCUGAGUUCUGGAAAUUGGAGGCUGAUUUAUAGCAUAGAAUUUGGAAACUCUUGAUUGUUUCCAAUGUCAGAGCGAAAAUGAAGGUGACAUAGGUAGAAAGGGUGUUUCUGGAACUUCAUAUAGUAACUUUGAGCGGGAAAAUUCAUUGGGGAGGGGCUCAGAAAAUACGACCUGACAUAAAGGUACUAUUUUAUUAGGAUAGGGGAUUUGAUUAUAUUAGCAACUUUUUGUCAACUUUAUUACGUUGUCAUUAUUUAUAACUAACUAACAGGUUUUUCUAGACUCUUUUGGAUGAAAUUCAUUCUAUAUUUCACUUUAAAAAUAACAUAAGUUUAGAUGCAAUAAAGUUCGACUUGCCCAAUUUGAAUUGAGAAGCGUCACCAAAUACAAUUCAUUUGACUAAAUUAGCAAUUUUAUAUCAACAUUAUUACUUUCUCAUUCUAUAUAUCCAAUUAAAAGGUUUUUAUAGACGCUUUUGGACGAAUUUCAUUAUACAUUUCGAUAACGAAGUUUAGAAGCUAUAAAUUCGACUUGCCCAAUUUGAAUUCAAAAUUGGCACCAAAUAUAAUUUAUUUGAUAACAUUAGAAACUUUUUAUCAACUUUAUUACGUUGUGAUUAUUUAUAACUAACUAAUAGGUUUUUCUAGACGCCUUUGGAUGAAAUUAAUUCCAUAUUUCUCUUUAAAACUAAAAUAAGUUUAGAUGCAAUAAAGUUUGAAUUGCCAAUUUAAAUUGAGAAGUGUCACCAAAUACAAUUCAUUUUGUAAGGGCUAGAAUGUUGUAAUAGUCGAAGGGUCAGUUUGAUUGUUACGAAGUAUCUGUUGUCUUCGUAUAUAUAGGUCUUCGGAUGUAUUGUUAUUUUACUAAGGAAUUAUAAAGUCAAGUCUUAACUCUUAGUCCUUAGUAUUGUUAUGCUUUUGUUCUCCUAUAAAUAGGGGUCUGUAAUAGUAUUCAAAGGAGUCUAGAACAGAGAUUUACAGAUUAGUCAUUGUAUUCUGUAAACUAAAAAGCAUAAUACGAGCUGAUCAAAUAUUCUAUUUACUUCUCUGUUCUUUUUUUGAAAUCAUUUACUCAAUUCAUUCUCGAAUUACAUUCAAACUCGAUUCCAGAUCUCGUCGAUUGGUAUCAGAGCAGGAAUCCUUUCUGUGAUCUGAUUUUCAUACGUUCAAAAAGAUUUUUGAAUCUAUUGUUUGAUUCAAAAAGUUUCCGUUCUUUUUAUAUGUGAAAAUUCUUCUUGAUCUAGGUCUAGGAUCUGAUUCUGCGAAUAUUUUUGUGAAUUGGUUGUUUGUAGUGUGAUUCUAAUAUGAAAUAUACAAUUUGAUUUCAAAAUCUCAAAGUUUUCAUAUUAUUGUUGAAGUUUUAUUCCGUACAACAAUGGCGUCAUUCAAUCUUAACUCAAUGACAUCAUUUUCUCAUUUACUUGGAUCAUCCACAAAGAUUCCGAUGCUAAUUCCAGAAUAUUACGAUCAGUGGGCAGAUCGUAUGCAAGACUACUUGAACGGACUGGAUGAGGAUUUAUGGAAUUGCAUUUCAGGUGAAAUAAAUCCACCUGCAACAGUUCAGUCAAUCGGUGCAUCUUCAAGCAGUUCAGAGGUUGAAAAUCAAUCUAAUCGUUUAAAACAACUGGAGAAGAAAUGCAUGAGGGAAUUAAGAGGUGCUUUGCCUCCUGUUGUGUACAAUUAUGUCAGGACAUGUACAACAGCUAAAGAAAUCUGGAAUAAUCUCAAAGAAAAAUUUCAAGGCAGUGAAAAGACAAAGAUCACAUCUGUGAAACAAUGUCUAGUGGAACUCAAGGAUUUCAAACAGAAGGAAUCUGAAUCCAUUGAAGUUUACUAUGAUCGAUUCAACGAGUUAAUCCACCAUUGUAAUCGUUAAGGUAUCAUAAGGUCAUCAAUGGAGUUCAACUUGAUUUUUGUAAUGNNNNNNNNNNNNNNNNNNNNNNNNNNNNNNNNNNNNNNNNNNNNNNNNNNNNNNNNNNNNNNNNNNNNNNNNNNNNNNNNNNNNNNNNNNNNNNNNNNNNUGUUAAACCCCAUAACAUUUCUUCCCUUGGGAUCCAGUUUUUAAUAUUUUUGUUGAGAUUUUAUAUUUUCCUAGCCACUUUAAAAAUUUAUUCCUACCUACUUGUUCAACAGACUACACCGGUCUCACAAGUACUUUGUUCACUUUCUUUCUUAUUUCAAGAUUAGAAUUGUUGCAUCAAAGCGAAAGCCACCCUUAAGUAGCCUAAUUAAAAGAAGCCUUUCAACAUUUCUUAAUAAGUGUUUGAUCGUUAUUCAACGGGAAACCAUAUCAACACUUUAAGGUCUCUCUUGACUUUGAAGGAAGAGAUUCGUGCCCAUGAUCAUUUGUUUCGUGUCAUUAUUGACAUCACAUUUAUUCCUAAAAAGAGUUGCUUUAUUACUUUUCUUUUUACACUCUUAGCACGAAAAUCUUUGAUUUUCCAAAAUUCUGGUACUAAUAAUUACAAGCUGUUUUACUGAAUUGGAGGUUAUUUACAAGUUGUGGUCAAAAAUAAUCCACGUGGGAGAUUUAUUCAAAAGAUGCCAUUCAAAAGAUAAGAUGAAGGGUUGCUGACUCAGGCGGGAGAUAAACGGAUUGAAUUUCAAACGGCGGUAAAAAGGGACGCAUGCAAAUUUGAAACGCCCAUUCUUUAACUGACGUUAAGGACGCGUGUGCGAAGAUGAAGCGGUUCCUCUCUGGUACAUAAAGGCGCGUGUGGAUUUGAAACGGUUUCUUCCGAAAUGGCGCUUGUUGGGCGGCGUGUUACAAGGAAUCUGACACUCUCUCUCCUACAUGAUCAUCGCAUGCCUUAACUGUCACGCAUCUGUCAUUCCGGGAAACCCUUUCGUAUUUCGAUAGAAGAUUUGAACAUAUUUUUCUCUCUCCUUACAUCUACUAUAAAAGGCAGUCUCCACUCCCAUUUACCUCUUUACUGCAUCCGAAUUCCCAAGAGAGCAAAAAUUUCCUUAUACCCUUACUGUUCAUUUUCUUCAUCCCAACUUCAACAAUGGCAGAAUCAUCAUCUGUUCAUGCUACCUCACACAUCCUUCCCAUUCGCCCUCAACAGUGUUUGGUGAUUGAUCUAACCCAUCAGGCGUACGAUUCCUACAUGUUCCCGAUUAUUGAGUGCCUGAAGUACUCGCCGAUCGCUCCUGCACUUUCUAGGGUUGCAUCUGUGCCUAUGGAGCUCCUCUCGCAGGUGUAUGCGACUGCACAUUACGAUAAAGCAGUCGAUAGGGUUUUCUUCGAGGUUUUUGAUCACAAGACCUCGAUUUCUAGGCAACGAUUUGGCGCAUUGCUAGGGUUUGCUGCUGACCCUUCCAGGGUUAAUCCGGAGACGAUUCCGAUUGGCCAUAUCUACAGUAUGUUUUACAACAUGGGGUACACNNNNNNNNNNNNNNNNNNNNNNNNNNNNNNNNNNNNNNNNNNNNNNNNNNNNNNNNNNNNNNNNNNNNNNNNNNNNNNNNNNNNNNNNNNNNNNNNNNNNNNNNNNNNNNNNNNNNNNNNNNNNNNNNNNNNNNNNNNNNNNNNNNNNNNNNNNNNNNNNNNNNNNNNNNNNNNNNNNNNNNNNNNNNNNNNNNNNNNNNNNNNNNNNNNNNNNNNNNNNNNNNNNNNNNNNNNNNNNNNNNNNNNNNNNNNNNNNNNNNNNNNNNNNNNNNNNNNNNNNNNNNNNNNNNNNNNNNNNNNNNNNNNNNNNNNNNNNNNNNNNNNNNNNNNNNNNNNNNNNNNNNNNNNNNNNNNNNNNNNNNNNNNNNNNNNNNNNNNNNNNNNNNNNNNNNNNNNNNNNNNNNNNNNNNNNNNNNNNNNNNNNNNNNNNNNNNNNNNNNNNNNNNNNNNNNNNNNNNNNNNNNNNNNNNNNNNNNNNNNNNNNNNNNNNNNNNNNNNNNNNNNNNNNNNNNNNNNNNNNNNNNNNNNNNNNNNNNNNNNNNNNNNNNNNNNNNNNNNNNNNNNNNNNNNNNNNNNNNNNNNNNNNNNNNNNNNNNNNNNNNNNNNNNNNNNNNNNNNNNNNNNNNNNNNNNNNNNNNNNNNNNNNNNNNNNNNNNNNNNNNNNNNNNNNNNNNNNNNNNNNNNNNNNNNNNNNNNNNNNNNNNNNNNNNNNNNNNNNNNNNNNNNNNNNNNNNNNNNNNNNNNNNNNNNNNNNNNNNNNNNNNNNNNNNNNNNNNNNNNNNNNNNNNNNNNNNNNNNNNNNNNNNNNNNNNNNNNNNNNNNNNNNNNNNNNNNNNNNNNNNNNNNNNNNNNNNNNNNNNNNNNNNNNNNNNNNNNNNNNNNNNNNNNNNNNNNNNNNNNNNNNNNNNNNNNNNNNNNAACCGAAACUACCCAUACUCAACAACCACCCGAACCUACCCCAACUCACACUCAACCUGAACCUACUCACACCACUACACCUCCAGCUUCACUACCACCCCCAUCUCCUGGUCAUGCCUCUGACGGAGAUAACCCUUUCCUUGGAGGGGAAAAUAUGACCUUCGAUUCGGUCUACUACAGUCCGUUUCAGGUCCAAAGCGACGACGAUGAGGAAGCUCCAGUAACAAAGAAACAUCUUAAGGAGCUGCAUGAGAAGGUUGAUCUGCUUAUUGCUUCAUCCUCUAACUCACAAUCCUCUCUCUCUGAAGCCGCUCUUCAGAAGAUCGUUGAUGCCUUUUCCAGGGCUCAACAUGAUUCUGUUGCUUCUGCCACUGCAACAAUUGACGCUUCCACAAAAGCUUGCGAGGCAGCGACCAAAAAAGUCGAUAAACUAUUCUCCGACGUCUCUGCCUUAUUACAAUCUCUACAGGAGAGUGCUGCUGCAACCAAGACAACGCUGGAACCGAUUGUUCAACAAUUGGCCAUGUUCGUCUCAACAGAGUUGAAGUCGUUCGCUACCCUUCGCCAAUCCAUCAGUGACGACAACUCUGCCCUUCGGACAUCUAUCGAUGAGCGCCUCUCUAAACUCCAGGAGGAUCUUGCUUAUGAUAACUCAUUGAUGGAUGCUCUCGCAAGGAAGACCACUGCCCUCAAGGUCAAGAGUGCUCAACUUUCAAGUUCUCAACAACAACUUGAUGCUCUUCGAUCCGAACGGGAAGUGAUAAGGACGUGUGUUUCGGAUGUACACCCCGCAAUAUCUAACAUCCUUGAAGCGCACGAUCCUAUUCUGAACCACUCUGUGAGGCGAACCCUUGCAGAAAAACUCGCCCAUGCCCUAGAUCUUCUCAGCAAAAUAGAAGGGCUGCCUAGUUUUGUGUACACUCCGAAACAAGGGGGAGAAAAGGAGUUCGAAUCUCAACCACCUCCUUCCUCAAAAGCUGCUCACACAACCGAACCUCCUCCUACUGGUCAAACUUCGGGUUCGGGUGUGAAGGAUAAAGGAAAGAAGAUAGCUGAGGAAGAAGAUNGAUGAUAAAGAAACCAUUGCUGACUUGCUGAAACGCAAAAAUAGUCGCAAUGUUGAAAAUGAUAACAUUCGUGUGGCGCGAGAAGCUGAAGAAGCUGAAGAAGCCGAACGCAAGAAGCUGAAGAAGCUGAAGAAGCCGAACGCAAGAAGAGCAGGAAGACUCUUUUCCCUGCUUGGACUCGAGAGAGAAUGNNNNNNNNNNNNNNNNNNNNNNNNNNNNNNNNNNNNNNNNNNNNNNNNNNNNNNNNNNNNNNNNNNNNNNNNNNNNNNNNNNNNNNNNNNNNNNNNNNNNAUCAAGCAAUUGAUGCAGAGAGAAAUGCGAAAGAUAAUAAACAAUUAGAAAAUUAGAAGCUUGAUAAUGACUCAAUUUUGUGUUCGAAUCAAAACACAAAUGCAAUAUAUGAUGGUCCAAUGGAGGGGGAGCACUUGGAUUCGAACAGUUUUGUUGAAGGGGAACAUUCUUACGAAGCAGAAGUAAUGUCAACCAAUGUUAAUGUUGAGGGGGAGCCAAUCAUCGAAGCAGAGCCAAUCAUCGAAGCGGAGCCAAACAUCGAAGCGGAUCCAAUAAUCGAGGGGGAGUCAAUCAUCGAGGGGGAACCCAUACUUGAGAAGGAUCCAAUUCUUGAAGAAGAACAUUUUGAUGAUGCUGAGGAUGCAUGUUCAAUAAAUGGAUCAGAAAAUGAUGCUAUGUUUGAAGAUGCACCUUUGGAUUUUGAUCCUGAUUAUCCACCAUUAGAUAAAUGGACAAGAAAUCAUCCAAAAGAACAAAUUCUUGGAGAUCCACAAGCGGGAGUAUUGACAAGGGCUCAACUUCAUGCAAGAAAUGAGGUAUUAAAUACUCAUCAAGAGUUAUGCAUGUUUAAUGUUUUUAUUUCCAAAAUCGAACCAAAGACAGUUAAGGUUGCAAUGGAACACUCUGAUUGGGUUGUUGCUAUGCAAGCUGAAUUGUCUGAAUUUGAAAGAAACAAGGUUUGGAGAUUAAUUCCUAAACCUGUUGAUGUUUCAAUUGUUGGACUUAAAUGGAUUUUUAAAAACAAAACUGACAAAGAUGGAAACAUUAUUCGAAAUAAGGCCAAACUUGUUGUUAAAGGAUAUUCUCAACAAGAAGGAAUUGAUUAUGAAGAAACAUUUGCCCCUGUCGCGAGACUCGAGACUGUUCGUAUUUUUCUAGCUUAUGCAACUCAUAAAGAUUUCGACGUUUAUCAAAUGGAUGUCAAAUGUGCAUUCUUAAACGGUGAACUCGAAGAAACGAUUUAUGUUGAACAACCACCAGGUUUUAUAAAUAACGAACAUCCUGAUCAUGUUUAUAUUUUAGAUAAAGCUGUGUAUGGGUUGAAACAAGCACCACGAGCAUGGUAUGCAACAUUAACAUCAUUUUUGAAACAAUCUAAAUUUAAACAAGGAUCAGUUGAUCCCACUUUAUUUCGAAAGAAAGUUGGGAUUCAUCUGAUGCUUGUUCAAAUUUAUGUUGAUGAUAUAAUUUUUGGCUCUACUGACCCUGCUUUAUCUAAAGAAUUUGAAGACUUGAUGAAAAGCAAAUUUGAAAUGAGUAUGAUGGGCAAAAUCAAUAAUUUUUUGGGUUUGAAUAUACGUCAAAACAGAGAAGGCAUCUUCAUUAAUCAGGAGAAAUAUACGAAGAAUUUGUUAGAAAAGUUUGGAACGACGAAUAGCUCAAGGUUACGAAUACCAAUGGCAACGGGCAUAAAGCUAACUUCUUCGCUAGAUAAAUUUGCUGUUGAUAUCACUUUGUAUCGAAGCAUGAUAGGGUCUUUAUUGUACUUAAAUGCAAAUUGACCUGAUAUUAUGUUUUCUGUUUGUAAUUGUGCAAGGUAUCAAUCGAAUCCACGUGAACCACAUCUAACAGCAGUGAAGAAUAUUUUUCGAUAUUUGAAAGGCACUACUUUGUUAGUUUUGUGGUAUCCUUCGAAAACAAGGUUCUUUGUACAAGCUUAUUCAGAUGCGGAUCUUGGAGGAUGCAGUCUUGAUCGUAAAAGCACAACUGGUGGAUGUCAAUUACUAGAUGGAAAAUUGGUCAGUUGGCAAUCGAAGAAGCAAACAUGUGUUUCGAUAUCUACGGCCGAGGCUGAAUAUGUUGCUGCAGCUGCGUGUACAUCACAAAUUAUUUGGAUUCAAAGUCAAUUACGUGAUUAUGCUAUAAAUAUGAAAAAGAUUCCUUUAUAUUGUGAUUCACAAAGUGCAAUAAGAAUUUGUCAUAAUCCUGUGCAGCAUUCGAAGACUAAGCACAUUGAUCUCAUAUAUCAUUUCAUAAAAGAUCAUGUGGAAGAAGGGAAUAUUGAAGUUCAUUUUGUGAAAACAACGGAACAAUUGACAGAUAUUUUUACAAAGGCAUUGGAUGAAAAAUCAUUUCUUCGUAUCUUAGAAGGAUUGGGUAUGAUUUGUGGAAAUUCACUUACAUGUGAUAAAAGCGAAGAGUGAUGGGUCUGAAUGAUUUGGUGAACUGACAGACAGGGUGAUUAAGUGUUAAGAGGUUACUGUUCAUGGUCAAUGCUUCGAAUGGUUCACAUUCGUAUGAUUUAUUCAAUGUUGCAGUUCAUAUUCAGAGACUACUGUUUCAAGUCAACGGUUCGGAUGCUUCGUGUUCGUAUGUUUAGAAGAUAAUACAUAUCUCAACUAAGGUUAGAAUUCUCGUUUUUUUAUUUUCUUCGCUUUCGAAAAACCUGAAAAAUCAAAAAUAUUUUCUUUUGAUUAAUUUUUUUUGAAAAAUUAAAAAAAAAUCCAAAAAGAUUUUAUUUUGUUAUGUUUUUAAUUUUGAAAAAUUAAAAAAAAAAUCACAAAAGUAUUUUUGUUUUCUUUGUUCUUUAAACUUUGUGUGCUGAGAAUUUAAUACAGGGCUAAAAUGCGAAGAGCUCAUAUUUGUGUCUUCUAUGGGAAGGUAUGAUUUCGAUAAAUUGUGUACUAGUUAGGACGUCCCUUGAAGCAUGCUGCUGCAUGUUGCCUCAAGCCUCAUAUGACUCUAUGUGUAGGAAAUGAAAGCCUUGAUGAAAUUAUCUCAUGAAAAUUUCUUCCCAACAAGGCUUGUAUUCGCAUAAGACAACAAGAGCUACCUUACUCUUCUCAAAUGAGUUAAGAGUUUUCUGUUUUGUCCAUUAUAACAAAGGUACAUUUCGAUUAUUGUCCAAUCUUUUUAUACCAAACAAUUCUUUUAAUCCAAAUUUUUGAAGAGAUUUGUCCUUGAGGUCUCUGAUCAAACCAAUCAAAACUUAGACAAAUCACAAGUCUGUGUUUAUGAUCUAACAUCAUGAGUCCGUGAUGAAGGUGAAACCCAAAUAUCAUAAACCUUAAGGAAUUGACGGGGAACUAUGUUCAAGAACUUACGAAACAUUUGUUUUAGUACCUUUUAUACUCAAAAUCAUAUUCAUUUUUUUUAGUGAUCUUAAUCAAACAUUCGAAACCUACGAUGUUUGUUCCCAACAAGAUCCAGCAUAAAUUUUUUUGUAUGAAUAUGAUUUCUGUGUGAGUAUAUUUCAAAAAUUCUAGUUACUUUGAAUAUCAUUCGAAACCAAUUUGUCACUGACUACAUUGGUCACACAAAUAAUUUUGGUUACAAUUUAUCAUCUUAUGUUAAGGUUGAUAUGUAACGAAAUUUUCGAAGCCACCCUUUUGCCUUAUAAAAGAAACUCUUCGAAACUUCUCUACAAGUUAUCGAUUGUAAUUCACGGGAAACCAAGCAAGCUGUUAAUUAUCUCUCUUGAUAAUUUUCGAAGAAAUCUUUGCCCGGGAUUCAAUUGUUUUGUGUCAAAUUAAAAUUUUGACAUCACAGGUUUCAAAAUUUUUUUAUUUGUUUCUUCUCUAUUUUUUUUUGGAACACAGCACACACGAAAUCCUUGAGGUUUGAGUAUUACCAACUCAAUCUGAUGAUUUCAAAUCUCUGGCAUAUGACUUUGUUUUUUCAACCCAAAAGCGAAAGAGCCUUACCUCUAUUCGAAGGAAUCCGACGGUUACACUUCUUUUGGGGAAUAUCAAACAGUCUUGUCUCUUGGUGACGUAUGGUAUACGAUACGAGUUUUAGGUGUGCUGAUAGUUACGAUUGUUACUUUUUGAUGAGUACGACCCGUCUUUCAAGGCACCAUGUCAACAAGCAUUUAAUGAAUCCCGCUUCAAAUUCAAAAUUCUAGGGUUACAUAUAAAGGGAACUCAGAGGUCUAUAACACUUUACGCGAUCAAACAUUCUCAGUCAUACAAGUUCUAUUUACAAUUCAUCUCUCAAACACUUAUCUUCUUCAAUCAUCUUGAUCAUACUCAUCAAUGGCGACUCACAAACAAGACAGUGUUACAUCAUCACCAACAACUGAAGAAGUCGUUAGUGUUCCAAUCUUGAAGAUCCAAGGUUCAAAUUACCAAGUGGAGUCGGAUUUAUCCAAAUAUCCGGAUGAACUCAAAAUGUUGGUGGUUGCUUUACAGAAUUCAGUUCUGUCCAAAGCUAUGUUUGAUUUCUUUGCUGUUCCUAUGUCGUGGUUAUCAAAGGCUGCUUCCACUGGUUGCGUGGAAUUUACAAUGGUGAAUGGUACUCGUAUUAGGGUAUCUAAGCGGUUAUUUUGCAAAAUUUUGGGGAUUCCGAAUACUGGUAUGUAUGACGAAAUUUCAUCUUCCCAAGUAGUGUUCAUGUUCAACGAAAUGGGACAUCAACCUCCAUUGACGCAUAUCAGUGACUUUAAGAAGUCUGGAUUACCUACGGUAUGGAAUUUCUUGUUCGGCAUUUUUCUUCGAUGUCUUACUGGAAGAACCGUAGGUCUCGACAAAGGACGAAUGGAAGUUUAUGCAAUGGUGGCAGGGAUUUAUUAUGAUCUGAAUGUUGAUUACUCUGAACAGUUGUGGACAGAGUUUUUAACAAGUAUUUCCAAGACAAGUGCCAAGCAGGGAAUCUCAUGUGCUCGAUAUUGGAGUUUGAUUAUUCAAUAUGUUUACAACAAGGAGAAGAUCGAAGUUCCUGAUUUUGAAGAAAAAGCAGUGUUUCACAUGUAUGGCAGUCCGAAGGAAGUUGCUGAUGAUCCUGAGGUUUUUACAUCCAUAGCUCGUAUUCCGGAUGCGAUGCUCAAGAAGGUGGAUCCAACAAAUGAAGUUUUGGUGUCAUAUUUGCAAUCAAUUGACACAACAGUUGUGACAGGAAUGUUGUAUGAAGAAGAGAAGAGGAAAUCCAAGAAAUCGAAGAAGACAGAUGUUGGGUCUUCGGAAAAAGUGGUGAAGGAUGAGAAGAAGAAGAAAUCUCCACUAACUAAAUCUGCUACAAGUGAAGAUGUUUCUCUCAUUUUAACAACAGUUGCUGAUACACCUGUUAUUGAAGCAUCCCCUUCGAAAGAAACUAUUCCAUCGAAGACAGGAGUUUUUCGUCGAGUAAAAAUAAAGCGAAAGUCUUCGUCUCAGCUUGUUAAGAAAACACAAGUUACACAUCAGGGUGUAACUGUUAGGGAAAUUCCAGCUCCGGUGUCUCCAUCAUCCAAAAAGCGAAGGGCUGAAGAUCUUGCAAAGUUUCUAAAGAAGAAUCAAAGAAUAGAAGAUGUAGAGCAAGUUCCUGAAACACCGGAGAUUCGAAUUCAUGAAGAAGCAAAGACCAGUGUGUCUGUUGGUCUUUUGAAGCCUACUGAACAAAGUCCUGUUGUUUCAUUACCUCAGGUUACAUCGACUACUGAUUCUCCUACUUUUCAAUCUAUUAUGGAUCAACCAUUCACUACCAUAUUUUCAACUCAAUCAACUGAUCCACCGAACCCAUCAUCCCCAAUUGAUGAAACUAUGGCUGCUGAUGAUGAAACUGAUACUGAAGGCUUUGGAGGUACAUUCGAAGCUCUUCAUUUUGAUCAUGCCGAAGAAGAUUUUCCAGACCACAUGUUGAUGACAAUGAAGCAAUUCAAGAUCUUGAAUUCAAAAUUGAAUUCAAUCUUGCAAUCACAAGCUGAUGUGGGUAGUAGUGGGGUUACAAGUUUGGAAGUUGAUUCCUUAAUCAAGAUGAUGGAAGGCCGUGUGAUUUCGAAGGCAUCUGGGCUCAUUCGGGAUUCAGAGAGUCGUGUUCUUGAAAAAGUUGAUUAGCAUGAUGUUUCGAAUGAGAAUCGUAUUAAUUCUCAGAGAUCUGAUUUUAUACGAGAGUUGGAAGAUCUUAAAAUGGUUACGAAGGAGUGUCAUGUGCUCUUCGUACAGGAAGUCAAGAAAGUACGAGAGGAUGUCAACUUAUAGAUCAGAGAACUUCGCGAAGACAUGCAGAAGGAAGUUCAAAUUGCUCAGCAGGAUUACGCUUUAGCAAAUAAGAAAAUUGACAUUAUUUGUGAUGCUGUUGUCAAAUGUGUCAAAAUGUUUGAGCAGAUAAAUCCACUACUGACAACUAUUUCUGUCAAAGAAGAACAAAGUUUUGGAGAAUUGGUCAGGUUACUGAAAGAAUUACAAGACUUGUCUUCGAAGAAUGUCUCUUCGAUAAUUUCUCCAGAAUUUUUGUCUCAAAAUUUUUCUCAAUUUGAAGCCAUCUUACACAAGAAUUUGGCUCCACUACUUCGCAUUUCGAGCCUUUUACCAAACGUAUCGGAUGCCCCACCUACUUUCACAGGGGUGCAAGGGGGAGAAAAGAUUGAUCAUAGAAAGGCUGCGGAACAAAUAAAGACAACCGAAGAUACGAAGGUAGUCGGAAAAGUAUACCCUUCGAAAGUGGUAGUAAAACCAACUGUUGUUUCAGCUGAUCCAGUCAUUUCGACUGUGAUUACAACAGUUCCAAUUUCAAAACCUAUAUCAAAAGGUAUUGUAAUUGAGAAACAAAUUGAUGUCUCUUCUUCAAAGAAUAUGGCUUCGUCAAACAUUAAAGACAAGGGAAAAGGAAUUAUAAUUGAGAAGUCAAAUAAAGAGAAGAAAGCUGAGGUGGCAACUGAGGUUGAAAGAAUGAGACAUGUUCAAAGUAUAAUGAGACAAAGAGCUUUGGAUAAUUCGAAAGUUGACAAGGGUGAUCCUUCGAAAGUUUACAAUUACGAAACAAUAGAAUCCAGGGUGAUGUUUGAUCACAUGUAUUCUUUUGAGAAGGUCCCUAAAAAGAGCUAUGUGGUUACAAACACAGAUUUUGGUCAACUUGAUUUUCCUGUCAAUGAAAUGAUGUUUGUUAUGCCACAAUUCAAAGCUGAAAUGAAAUCAUUGGAAACCGAAGAGGGAAAGAAGAUGAAAAUAAGAUUUCAUGCAGUGUUGGCUAAAGCUCAGGAAGAAGUGUGGUUUUUAGAGAAGAUUAAAAAGGUGAUAUCCAUAAAAAGGGAUGUUGUAUUCGAAGGGAAGUUUGAAAAUCUCAAGUAUACUAUGGCAAGAGCAAAUGGAAAGAUACAAGAAUUUACAGUCGCAGACUUUCCUUUGAUGAAUACGUAUGAUCUAAUCAAUAUCACCUUGAUGCUCAAAGACAAAUCAUUUUCUUUUCUUCAAGACACUGAGCCAGAUGUUUUUAAUCUUGGGUGCAAGCACAUCAAAAUAUUUUUGGAGAAUUACUUUGAGUGUUUGGCUCAAACAGAUGUCGAACUUGCUACUGUCAAAGGCUUCGACAUAACUGCACCAAUGGCACCAACGAAGAAACAGACUGAGCUGAACAAGUACGAAGAUGGUGAAAUUUGUUUAAAGCCACUGGGGAUUGUUUUUGCAGGAAAAGAUAAAGCUGGAAGAGCUAAAAGAUUUUUAUUUCAAACUUGUGAAGUGGAGAGAUACUCAAAUUCACAAUAUACGAAUUUAAUUGUUCGUAUGAACCACUGCAAGAAAAACAAUGAAGGAGAAAAGAAAGAGAUAAAGAAAGCUAUCUCAUGGUAUAUGGAAAUCCGAAGAGCGUUGAUGUAUGCUGUUCAAUCACUGACGUCUUGAAGACUUCGACCUUGAUUCCAAAGGGGGAGAUUGUAAGGGCUUGAAUGUUGUAAUAGUCGAAGGGUCAGUUUGAUUGUUACGAAGUAUCUGUUGUCUUCGUAUAUAUAGGUCUUCGGAUGUAUUGUUAUUUUACUAAGGCAUUAUAAAGUAGAGUCUUAACUCUUAGUCCUUAGUAUUGUUAUGCUUUUGUUCUCCUAUAAAUAGGGGUCUGUAAUAGUAUUCAAAGGAGUCUAGAACGGAGAUUUACAGAUUAGUCAUUGUAUUUUGUAAACUAAAAAGCAUAAUACGAGCUAAUCAAAUAUUCUAUUUACUUCUCUGUUCUUCUUUUGAAAUCAUUUACUCAAUUCAUUCUCGAAUUACAUUCAAACUCGAUUCCAAAUCUCAUCACAUUUUAUUAAAUCAACAACUUUUUAUCAAAAUUAUUACUUUCUCGUUCUAUAUAGCCAAUUAAAAUGUCUUUUUAGACGCUUUUGAUCGAAUUUCAUUAUACAUUUCGAUAACGUAAGUUUAAAGGCUAUAAAUUCGACUUCCCCAAUUUUGAAUUCAAAAGUGGCACCAAAUAUAAUUUAUUUGAUUAAAUUAGCAACUUUUUAUCAACUUUAUUACGUUGACAUUAUUUAUAACUAACUAACACGUUUUUCUAGAUGCUUUUGGAUGAAAUUCAUUCUAUUUUUCUCUAUAAAAAUAACAUAAGUUCAGAUGCAAUAAAGUGCGAUUUGUGCAAUUUGAAUUGAGAAGUAUCACCAAAUAUAAUUUAUUCGAUUAAAUUAGCAACUUUAUAUCAACAUUGUUACGUACACAUUCUAUAUAGCCAAUUAAAAGGUUUUUAUAGACGCUUUUGGACGAAUUUCAUUAUACAUUUUGAUAACGUAACUUUUGAGGCUAUAAAUUCGAAUUGCCCAAUUUGAAGAAGUGGCACCAAACAUAAUUUAUUUGAUUAUAUUAGCAACUUUUUAUCAAUAUUAUUAUGUUUUCAUUCUUUAUAGCUAACUAAAAGCUUUUUCCAGACGCUUUUGCAUGAAAUUCAUUCUACAUUUCUCUUUAAAACUAAAAUAAGUUUAGAUGCAAUAAAGUUCGACUUGCCUAAUUUGAAUUGAGAAGUGUCACCAAAUACAAUUCAUUUGAUUAUAUUAGCAACUUUAUAUCAACAUUAUUACAUUAUCAUUAUAUAUAGCCAAUUAAAAGGUUUUUAUAGACGCUUUCAAACGAAAUUCAUUAUACAUUUCGAAUAAGUAAGUGUAGAGGCUAUAAAUUCGACUUGCCCAAUUUGAAUUCAAAAGUGGCACCAUAUAUAAACUAUUUGAUUGUAUUAGAAACUUUUUGUCAACUUUAUUACGUUGUCAUUAUUUAUAACUAACUAACAAGUUUUUCUAGACGCUUUUGGAUGAAAUUCAUUAUAUAUUUCUCUUUAAAAAUAACAUAACUUUAGACGCAAUAAAGUUCGACUUGCCCAAUUUCAAUUGAGAAGCGUCACCAAAUACAAUUCAUUUGACUAAAUUAGCAAUUUCAUAUCAACAUUAUUACUUUCUCGUUUUAUAUAGCUAAUUAAAAGGUUUUUAUAGACGUUUAUGGAUGAAUUUCAUUAUACAUUUUGAUAACGUAAGUUUAGAAAUUAUAAAUUCGACUUGCCCAAUUUGAAUUCAAAAUUGGCACCAAAUAUAGUUUAUUUGAUAACAUUAGAAACUUUUUAUCAACUUUAUUACGUUGUCAUUAUAUAUAACUAACUAAUGGGUUUUUCUAGACGCCUUUGGAUGAAAUUAAUUAUUUCUCUUAAAAACUAAAAUAAGUUUAGAUGCAAUAAAGUUUGACUUGCCCAAUUUGAAUUGAGAAGUGUCACCAAAUACAUUUCAUUUUAUCAAAUUAGCAACUUUAUAUCAACAUUAUUACUUUCUCAUUCUAUAUAGCCAAUUAAAAGGUUUUUAUAGGCGCUUUUAGACGAAAUUCAUUAUACAUUUCGAUAACGUAUGUUUAGAGGCUAUAAAUUCGACUUGCCCAAUUUGAAUAUUAAAGUGACAACAAAUAUAAUUUAUUUGAUUAUAUUAGCAACUUUUUAUCAACUUUAUUACGUUGUCAUUAUUUAUAACUAACUAAGAGGUUUUUCUGGAGCUUUUGGAUGAAAUUCAUUCUAUAUUUAUCUUUAAAAAUAACAUAAGUUUAGAUGCAAUAAAGUUUGAGUUGCCCAAUUUGAAUUGAGAAGUGUCACCAAAUAUAAUUCAUUUGAUUAAAUUAGCAACUUUAUAUCAACGUUAUUACGUUUUGAUUCUAUAUAGCCAAUUCAAAGGUUUUUUUGGGAAAGGGAACUUCACUAACGAGGGUUUCCGGGACAGAUUUCGCGCACCGACUAAUCCCCCGCUUCAAACAUGAGGCUUUGCGUCAUGCUCUGGAGUCACCGCAGGCGAACCUCCAUGGCCACAAGGGCUGAGUGGUGCCAGGAUUUGAACAUGGGCCAAUAGGCUGUCCACCAUAUCUUCCACAUGCCUUACCAAGUCACCAUAACCCAAGUGUCUCCAAUUAAAAGGUUUUUAUAGACGCUUUUGGACGAAUUUCAUUAUACAUUUCGAUAACGUAAGUUUAGAGGCUAUAAAUUCGACUUGCCCAAUUUGAAUUCAAAAGUAGCACCAUAUAUAAUUUAUUUGAUUAUAUUAGCAAUUUUUUAUCAACUUGAUUACAUUGUCAUUAUUUAUAACUAACUAACAGGUUUUUCUAGACGCUUUUGGAUGAAAUUUAUUCUAUAUUUCACUUUAAAAAUAAUAUAAGUUUAGAUGUAAUAAAGUUCGACUUGCCCAAUUUGAAUUGAGAAGUGUCACCAAAUACAAUUCUUUUGAUUAUAUUAGCAACUUUAUAUCAACAUUAUUAUGUUCUCAUUUUAUAUAGCAAAUUAAAAGGUUUUUAUAGACGCUUUUUGACGAAAUUCAUUAUACAUUUGGAUAACGUAACUUUUGACGCUAUAAAUUCAACUUGCCCAAUUUGAAUUGAGAAGUGACACCAAAAAUAAUUUAUUUGAUUAUAUUAACAACUUUUUAUCAAAAUUAUAAAGUUUUCAUUCUUCAUAGCUAACUAAAAGCUUUUUCCAGACGCUUUUACAAGAAAUUCAUUGUACAUUUCUCUUUAAAACUAAAAUAACUUUAGAUUCAAUAAAGUUCUACAUGCCCAAUUUGAAUUGAGAAGUGUCACCAAAUACAAUUCGUUUGAUUAUAUUAGCAACUUUAUAUCAACAUUAUUACAUUGUCAUUCUAUAUAGCCAAUUAAAAGGUUUUUAUAGACGUUUUCAGACGAAAUUCAUUAUACAUUUAGACAAAGUAAGUGUAGAGGCUAUAAAUUCGACUUGCCUAAUUUGAAUUGAAAAGUUGCACCAUAUUAAAAGGUUUUUAUAGACACUUUUGGAUGAAAUUCAUUAUACAUUUCGAUAACGUAAGUUUACAGGCUAUAAAUUCGACUUCCCCAAUUUUGAAUUCAAAAGUGGCACGAAAUAUAAUUUAUUUGAUUAUAUUAGCAACUUUUUAUCAACUUUAUUACGUUUUCAUUAUUUAUAACUAACUAACAGUUUUUUCUAGAUGCUUUUGGAUGAAAUUCAUUCUAUAUUUCUCUUUAAAAAUAACAUAAGUAUAGAUGCAAUAAAGUUCCACUUGCCCAAUUUAAAUUGAGAAGUGUCACCAAAUAUAAUUCAUUUAUUUAAAUUAGCCACUUUAUAUAAACAUUAUUACGUUCUCAUUCUAUAUUGCCAAUUAAAAGGUUUUUAUAGACGAUUUUGGACAAAAUUCAUUAUAAAUUUCGAUAACGUAAGUUUAGAGGCUCUAAAUUCGACUUCCCCAAUUUUGAAUUCAAAAGUGGCACCAAAUAUAGUUUAUUUGAUUAUAUUAGCAACUUUUUAUCAGCUUUAUUAUGUUGUCAUUAUUUAUAAAUAACUAAUAGAUUUUUCUAGACGCUUUUGGAUGAAAUUCAUCCUAUUUUUAUCUUUAAAAAUAACAUAAGUUUAGAUGCAAUAAAGUUCCAUUUGACCAAUUUGAAUUGAGAAGUGUCACCAAAUAUCAUUAAUUUGAUUAAAUUAGCAACUUUAUACCAACAUUAUCACGUUCUCAUUCUAUAUAGCCAAUUAAAAGGUUAUUAUAGACGCUUUUGGUCGAAUUUCAUUAUACAUUUCGAUAACGUAAGUUUAGAGGCUAUAAAUUCGACUUCCCCAAUUUUGAAUUCAAAAGUGGCACCAAAUAUAACUUAUUUGAUUGUAUUAGCAACUUUUUAUCAAAUUUAUUACGUUUUCAUUAUUUAUAACUAACAAACAGGUUUUUCUAGACGCUUUUGGAUGAAAUUAUUUGUAUAUUUCUCUUUAAUAAUAACAUAAGUUUAGAUGCAAUAAAGUUCGACUUGCCCAAUUUGAAUUGAGAAGUGUCACCAGAAAUAAUUCAUUUGAUUAAAUUAGCAACUUUAUAUCAACAUUAUUAUGUUCUCAUUCUAUAUAGCCAAUUAAAAGGUUUUUAUAGACGCUUUUGGACGAAAUUCAUUAUACAUUUCGAUAACGUAAGUUUAGAGGCUAUAAAUUCGACUUCCCCAAUUUUGAAUUCAAAAGUGGCACCAAAUAUAAUUUAUUUGAUUAUAUUAGCAACUUUUUAUCAAUUUUAUUACGUUUUCAUUAUUUAUAACUAAAUAACAGUUUUUUCUAGACGCUUUUGGAUGAAAUUUAUUCUAUAUUUCUAUUUAAAAAUAACAUAAGUUUAGAUACAAUAAAGUUCCACUUGACCAAUUUGAAUAGAGAAGUGUCACCAAAUUUAAUUAAUUUGAUUAAAUUAGCGACUUUAUACCAACAUUAUCACGUUCUCAUUCUGUAUAGCCAAUUAAAAGGUUAUAAUAGAUGCUUUUGGUCGAAUUUCAUUAUACAUUUCGAUAACGUAAGUUUGGAGGCUAUAAAUUCGACUUCCCCAAUUUUGAAUUCAAAAGUGUCAACAAAUAUAAUUUAUUUGAUUAUAUUAGCAACUUUUUAUCAACUUUAUUACGUUUUCAUUAUUUAUAACUAACUAACAGUUUUUUCUAGACGCUUUUGGAUGAAAUUCAUUCUAUAUUUCUCUUUAAAAAUAACAUAAGUUUAGAUGCAAUAAAGUUCGACUUGCCCAAUUUGAAUUGAGAAGUGUCACCAGAAAUAAUUCAUUUGAUUAAAUUAGCAACUUUAUAUCAACAUUAUUAUGUUCUCAUUCUAUAUAGCCAAUUAAAAGGUUUUUAUAGACGCUUUUGGACGAAAUUCAUUAUACAUUUCGAUAACGUAAGUUUAGAGGCUAUAAAUUCGACUUCCCCAAUUUUGAAUUCAAAAGUGGCACCAAAUAUAAUUUAUUUGAUUAUAUUAUCAACUUUUUAUCAACUUUAUUACAUUUUCAUUAUUUAUAACUAACUAACAGUUUUUUGUAGACGCUUUUGGAUGAAAUUCAUUCUAUAUUUCUCUUUAAAAAUAACAUAAGUAUAGAUGCAAUAAAGUUCGACUUGCCCAUUUUGAAUUGAGAAGUGUCACCAAAUAAAAUUCAUUUGAUUAAAUUAGUAACUUUAUAUCAACAUUAUUACGUUCUCAUUCUAUAUAACCAAUUAAAAGGUUUUUACAGACGCUUUUGGUCGAAUUUCAUAAUACAUUUCGAUAACGUAAGUUUAAAAGCUAUAAAUUCGACUUCCCAAUUUUUGAAUUCAAAAGUGGCACCAAAUAUAAUUUAUUUGAUUAUAUUAGCAACUUUUUAUCAACUUUAUUACAUUUUCAUUAUUUAUAACUAACUAACAGUUUUUUCUACACGCUUUUGGAUGAAAUUCAUUCUAUAUUUCUCUUUAAAAAUAAUAUAAGUAUAGAUGCAAUAAAGUUCGACUAGCCCAAUUUGAAUAGAGAAGUGUUACCAAAUAUAAUUUAUUUGAUUAAAUUAGCAAACUUUCUAUCAACAUUAUUACGUUCUCAUUCUAUAUAGCCAAUUAAAAUGUCUUUUUAGACGCUUUUGAUCGAAAUUCAUUAUACAUUUCGAUAACGUAAGUUUAGAGGCAAUAAAUUAGACUUCCCCAAUUUUGAAUUCAAAAGUGGCACCAAAUAUAACUUAUUUGAUUAUAUUAGCAACUUUUUAUCAACUUUAUUACGUUUUCAUUAUUUAUAAUUAACUAACAGUUUUUUCUAGAUGCUUUUGGAUGAAUUUCAUUCUAUAUUUCUUUUUAAAAAUAACAUAACUUUAGAUGCAAUAAAGUUCGACUUGCCCAAUUUGAAUUGAGAAGUGUCACCAAAUAUAAUUAAUUUGAUUAAAUUAGCAACUUUAUAUCAACAUUAUUAUGUUCUCAUUCUAUAUAGCCAAUUAAAAGGUCUUUACAGACGUUUUUGGAUGAAAUUCAUUAUACAUUUCGAUAACGUAAGUUUAGAGGCUAUAAAUUCGACUUCCCCAAUUUUGAAUUCAAAAGUGGCACCAAAUAUAACUUAUUUGAUUGUAUUAACAACUUUUUAUCGAAUUUAUUACGUUUUCAUUAUUUAUAACUAACAAACAGGUUUUUCUAGACGCUUUUGGAUGAAAUUAUUUGUAUAUUUCUCUUUAAAAAUAACAUAAGUUUAGAUGCAAUAAAGUUCGACUUGCCCAAUUUGAAUUGAGAAGUGUCACCAGAAAUAAUUCAUUUGAUUAAAUUAGCAACUUUAUAUCAACAUUAUUAUGUUCUCAUUCUAUAUAGCCAAUUAAAAGGUUUUUAUAGACGCUUUUGAUCGAAUUUCAUUAUACAUUUCGAUAACGUAAGUUUAAAGGCUAUAAAUUCGACUUCCCCAAUUUUGAAUUCAAAAGUGGCACCAAAUAUAAUUAAUUUGAUUAUAUUAGCAACUUUUUAUCAACUUUAUUACGUUUUCAUUAUUUCUAACUAACUAACAGUUUUUUCUAGAUGCUUUUGGAUGAAAUUCAUUCUAUAUUUCACUUUAAAAAUAACAUAAGUAUAGAUGCAAUAAAAUUCGACUUGCCCAAUUUGAAUUGAGAAGUGGCACCAAAUAUAAUUCAUUUGAUUAAAUUAGCAAUUUUAUAUCAACAUUAUCACGUUCUCAUUCUAUAUAGCCAAUUAAAAGGGUUUUAUAGAUGUUUUUGGUCGAAUUUCAUUAUACAUUUCGAUAAUGUAAGUUUAAAGGAUAUAAAUUCGACUUCUCCAAUUUUGAAUUCAAAAGUGGCACCAAAUAUAAUUUAUUUGGUUGUAUUAGCUACUUUUUAUCAACUUUAUUAAGUUUUCAUUAUUUAUCACAAACUAACAGUUUUUUCUAGACGCUUUUGGAUGAAAUUCAUUCUAUAUUUCUCUUUAAAAAUAACAUAAGUAUAGAUGCAAUAAAGUUCGACUUGCCCAAUUUGAAUUGAGAAGUGUCACCAGAUAUAAUUCAUUUGAUUAAAUUAGCAACUUUAUAUCAACAUUAUCACGUUCUCAUUCUAUAUAGCCAAUUAAAAGGUUUUUAUAGACGCUUUUGAUCGAAUUUCAUUAUACAUUUCGAUAACGUAAGUUUAAAGAAUAUAAAUUCGACUUCCCCAAUUUUGAAUUCAAAAGCGGCACCAAAUAUAAUUAAUUUGAUUAUAUUAGCAACUUUUUAUCAACUUUAUUACGUUUUUAUUAUUUAUAACUAACUAACAGUUUUUUGUACACGCUUUUGGAUGAAAUUCAUUCUGUAUUUCUAUUUAAAAAUAACAUAAGUUUAGAUGCAAUAAAGUUCCACUUGCCCAAUUUGAAUUGAGCAGUGUCACCAAAUAUAACUCAUUUUAUUAAAUUAGAAACUUUAUACCAACAUUAUUACGUUCUCAUUCUAUAUAGACAAUUAAAAGGUUUUUAUAUNCAACAUUAUUACGUUCUCAUUCUAUAUAGCCAAUUAAAAGGUUUUUAUCGACGCUUUUGAUCGAAUUUCAUUAUACAAUUCGAUAACGUAAGUUUAAAGGCUAUAAAUUCGACUUCCCCAAUUUCGAAUUCAAAAGUGGCACCAAAUAUAAUUUAUUUGAUUACAUUAACAACUUUUUAUCAACUUUAUUACGUUUUCAUUAUUUAUCACUAACUAACCGUUUUUUCUAGACGCUUUUGGAUGAAAUUCAUUCUAUAUUUCUUUUAAAAAAUAACAUAAGUAUAGAUGCAAUAAAGUUCGACUUGCCCAAUUUGAAUUGAGAAGUGUCACCAAAUAUAAUUAAUUUGAUUAAAUUAGCAACUUUCUAUCAACAUUAUUACGUUUUCAUUCUAU